GACCCCACCCUCGGGCCCAGCCUGGUCGUCUCUUACAUUGAGGCUACAAACCUGAAAAUUAACUGGGAGAUAAUUGGUUCAUUCACAUAACCAACACUGUGGGCACAAUGGUACACCUGCCCUCAAAGUGUACAUAUACAUAACACACAUUUAAACAUGCUAUAUACAGCAUAUGUAUAAACCUGCACCCUUACAUAUAAAUAACAUACAAAUAUUAAUCACUGUCCAUCUUGAAUACAUAAUAGAAAGACUCAUAUUGUAUGGAACAAAACUGUGAUUAAACCUGGAUGUUCUCCUACAGAUACCACCAAGCCUCCUCCCAGAAGGUAACAAGAUAAACAGUUGUGCAGAGGAUGUGUGGCGUCCCAGACAAUCUUACGGACCCUACUCAAGCAAUGCUUACAUGCCAUGUCUUGGAUAGAAGGGAGUGAACUGCCAAUAAUCUGUUCUGCCAUCUUCACCACUCCCUGCAUCGCCUUCCUGUCUGAAGCAGGGAUGCUUCCAAACCAGACUGUGAUGCUGUACGAGAGGCUGCUCUCGAUCGUCCCUCUGUAGAAAAUGGUCAGGACAGGGGAAGGGAGAUGUGCUUUUCUCAUGUGAUGCAGAAAAGGCAGUCACUGCUGUGCCUGCUUCACCAGCGUCUCACUGUUGAGUGGCCAGGCUAGUCUACUCAUUAGCUGCACACCCAGGAAUUUCAUCCUGGUGACCAUCUCCACAGGGGAAUCAUUAAUGCACAGAGAAGUGUGGGCUGUGCCUGCCUUUUCUGAAAUCGACAAUGAUCUCUCCGGUUUUUCCAGUGAUUAAAAUUAGGCUGUUUUUCUUACACCAGUUCACCAAAUUGUCAACCUCCUUGGGGUAAGCACCUCAUUGUCAUCUUGAAUAAGGGCUACUAUUGUUGUAUCUUGGGAAAAUAAACUGACCCCCUCCUCUUUGUGGCAGCCUCUGAAAUACUGGAAUACGGCUAUCAUAUCACCCCUAGUUCUCCUUUUCUCUAGACUGGCCAAACCCAAAUCCUGCAACCGUUCUUCAUACUUUAAACAUCUUAGUUGCUCUUCUUUGCACUUUUCCGAAAGUCUAAGCAGGUGGGCGAUUACAGAUGCUCAUGGAAGUGGACAGAGCUGCUGUAACUUCAAUCACUAAACAAAUGGCUGCAAGUCAAGGACUCCCUAAAAAUAGGGAAACUACCAAGGUCAAAGUUGUCCUGCAACCCAUCUCCAAAACUAGCCCAACUGGGUAGAAAAAUUGCUCAACGGCCAGCCAGCAUUUCAACUCAGUCCCCAAACUUCCCCCUCGUGGACACGGUCUGGCUUUUCAAGGAAAGAAAAUGACACCAUUUGUAUUUUUGGAUCACCCUAAAGUUAUAUUCGGUCUGUUAAAGUCUUGCAAAUUCGGGAGAUAAAAGUGGGAACUGCUGAAUCCAAACUGAGCAUCUCACCCCACUGAGGAAUCUCCUGCCCUGGAAAUACUCAACUGCUUUUUAAUCAAACCUUUAUUAGGCUCAAAGACGGGAAUGUGGAGUUAGGUGUAUGAAAAAGCAUAAAAAUAUUGCAAAAGUAAAA